rnacentral:rRNA from 1 species
GUAGGGUGCAAGCGUUAAUCGGAAUUACUGGGCGUAAAGCGUGCGCAGGCGGUUAUGUAAGACAGAUGUGAAAUGCCCGGGCUCAACCUGGGAACUGCAUUUGUGACUGCAUGGCUAGAGUGUGUCAGAGGGGGGUAGAAUUCCACGUGUAGCAGUGAAAUGCGUAGAUAUGUGGAGGAAUACCGAUGGCGAAGGCAGCCCCCUGGGAUGACACUGACGCUCAUGCACGAAAGCGUGGGGAGCAAACAGGAUUAGAUACCCUGGUAGUCCACGCCCUAAACGAUGUCUACUAGUUGUCGGGUCUUAAUUGACUUGGUAACGCAGCUAACGCGUGAAGUAGACCGCCUGGGGAGUACGGUCGCAAGAUUA